AUUGAACGCUGGCGGCAGGCUUAACACAUGCAAGUCGAGCGGGGUGAUGGUGCUUGCACUAUCACUUAGCGGCGGACGGGUGAGUAAUGCUUAGGAAUCUGCCUAUUAGUGGGGGACAACAUCUCGAAAGGGAUGCUAAUACCGCAUACGUCCUACGGGAGAAAGCAGGGGAUCACUUGUGACCUUGCGCUAAUAGAUGAGCCUAAGUCGGAUUAGCUAGUUGGUGGGGUAAAGGCCUACCAAGGCGACGAUCUGUAGCGGGUCUGAGAGGAUGAUCCGGCACAGUGGGACUGAGACACGGCCCAGACUCCUACGGGAGGCAGCAGUGGGGAAUAUUGGACAAUGGGGGGAACCCUGACCCAGCCAUGCCGCGUGUGUGAAGAAGGCCUUAUGGUUGUAAAGCACUUUAAGCGAGGAGGAGGCUCUUUUGGUUAAUACCCAAGAUGAGUGGACGUUACUCGCAGAAUAAGCACCGGCUAACUCUGUGCCAGCCGCCGCCGUAA
rnacentral:rRNA from 1 species